UAAUAGCAUUCUCUACUUUCUUGUGAUAAUGCUUCUUUCCAUUUAGAGUGUUUGUAUUGAUUUCAUCUUCUCUUCUUCUUGUUUUAUCACAUUUAUAUUGGCUAUUGAUACGGAAGUUUGCAAUCGCUGUGCAUCAAACUUUCCCAUACAGAUGGAAUUUGUAGAACUGAAUCACUAUUUUAACAAUGUAUGUUCGCUGAAGCAGUUAGAUGUUGCUAUUCUCGAGGUUGGUUUGGGAGGGAAAUUUGAUGCAACUAACAUGGUGCUCACUACUAUUGUGUUCAGUUAUAGAUUUUCACCAAAAUGUAUUAUGACUUUAUGAUCUAAUUUGGAUGUGCCUUAAAAUUCUAAAAAUCAUUUAUGCUAUUAUACAUGAUUGAUAUUUCAUUGGUUGAAAUGAAUCAACUAUAGGUUGGAUAAGGGCUCAUUAUAUUAUCUUAUCAAUGUUCCUGCAUCAAAUUUGGAAUUUCAUGAUCUAAGCCAAUACUAAGCAUUUUAACUCGUUGAAGUUAAGUCUUUAGGACUCUGUACACUCGGAUAGCUCACUGAGUUAUCAAAGCAUUGAUUUUUGGAGAUGUGUGGUGCAUGCAAGUCAAGCUACUUGGAAAUUUAUGUUUUUACUUGAUACCUGUGCUUUUACCAUGAAAUAGAAUAUUUCUUUGAUGCAUCCCAGCACGAUAUUAUCUUUGUAUCCUGAUUAUAGUUCUGCCCACUUGUUCUGUCUCGUAUAUGGAUUAUGGUAAGGUUGAACAUUUGUAGAGAGAGUAAGGGGGAGGGUAUCUUGGGAGGCUUUAUGAAUGCUUUAUCCCGGAAAGCAUCUGGAUUUCCUAGCAACGUACUGUUGAAGAGUCUAUUGACUUGCAAUCAAGUUUGAUUCAGCAUUAGUGUUAGGGGAUGUCAGUUUGAUGGUUCUGCAAUCUUGUAUUAGCAGGGGCUGCGUGAGGCGCAUGUAUUGAUGCAUGACCAACAAUGUAUUUGCCAUUUUCAGGUGAGUUCAUGCAAGAUUGAGGUGGCCACGAAGUAGUGUUAUGAUAGGGAUGCAUUUCUAUUGGAGUUUAGGGGAAGAUGGGAAGUGGCCGUGGGACUGGACCUGAAUCACAUUGUUGGUUGUGUGAUUCAUUGUGCUUUGAGUCUUCCAUGUUUUAUGCUUCCCUUUUCAACUGUGGAACUCCUUUUUAAAAUUCUUUAUGCCAUUUUUCAGUGAUAUCUAAAGAAUGAGCAACAACCUGGCUCUUGAAGUACAAGCAGGCUAGUAACUAAGUGGAUUUCAUCG
rnacentral:lncRNA from 1 species